rfam:Ictidomys tridecemlineatus contig059705, whole genome shotgun sequence.
GGGGAUGUGGCUCAGUGGUAGAGUGCUUGCCCGGCACAAGCAAAGCCUGGGUUCAAUUCCUAGCACCA